rnacentral:tRNA from 1 species
GGCGGGAUAGCUCAGCUGGUAGAGCACGGGGGUCAUAAUCCCGUUGUCGGGGGUUCGAAACCCUCUCCCGCUA